UACGGCUCUCUAAGGGCGGGACGCCUGUCGUUUUGUUGAUGGACCGUGCUGGAAAUAACGGCAUGAUGUCGUUAAGGACCCGAAGCUCCCCCGACUCACUCAUCCGCCUUGCUGCCGCUCAACAAAACAUGCGAAACAACCAGACCGGAAACAACCGGUACAUUCAUUCACUCAGCCUAGAUGUCGGUGUUCUCCCCCGUCCAGGGUAAUCUGCUCUGCCGGACCCUCGAGGCCUUCAGAUUGACACCGAGAGCACAGGAUAUCACAUGAGCAGAUACUGUACGACUUGGCCACAGAUGUAUGACUGCAAGCAAAUGGACCAUAUCAACUGAGAAAACACACGUGAUCAUGACUAGACAGACUAUGACCAGGCUGUACAUGCAUGACAUAUGUAUAACCACAAUCAGGACAUCCAACACCAAUCCAGUUUUUCUCCCCUCAGGAGUCAGAAACCUUGUCUCCCAAAGAUUAAAAGUGUGUUGAAUUUCCUUGCAUUGCUGCAGCUCUACUCAUAUUGGAGAGGAUGUGGCUGGACUGUGAUGUCCUACUGUAUGUCUGUUGGAGGUGUUCUGGGACGCAGGCGGCUGUAUUACAGGGCUGAUGAAUGUAUUCUCUGACUGCGUCUUGGAAAUCCAACGCUAAAUGUCACAAUUUGCAUGCCGGUCCUCUGGGUUUGCGAAAUCAGAGCCGGAGAUAGAGGCACGGGGGUACGGACCAGUAAUUGCCCUGAGAAAUUUCUCCCAGGAAAAAAUGCUAUUCAUCUUAAAAUAUGAAACAUUUUCCCACCGAUUGAGUCGGACGUUCCACGGCGUAAAAAAAAUGUUGCCCCUUUGGCAGAGAAAACAACAUUCACCCGAGGAAACGUCGCUUCCAUCGCUUUCAGUUUUUAAGAACUUGCCACGGGGAAGCCAAGGACAAAAGAGCCAUUGAGGGAACUCAGAACCAGAUGAUCUCGGGGGCAUGAGCACAGUGUACUACAAUGCGAGUCAUUAGUCAUCUUUUAUUGCCUCGGUGACAAAAAGACAGAGGAAUCUCAUUUUCUUUUCUCUUCUCCUUUAUGGAAGUGUGGGGACAUUUUUGAAGAUGUGGGAUCAGGGAAUCCUGAGUCAUACAUAAAGCACAUUUAAUCUUAGCAGAAUGGUUUUUGUUUGGAACGCUUUUUGGGAGAAAUGUUUUCCCACUGAGCGGGCCCAAACUGGUGAAGAAGUCCAUUGUGCGGUGGGUGCGGACGCUGAGGGCUUUUCAGGAAAUGUAACCGGGUUCAUCUUUUUGCUUUCUCCAUUAUUUAUUUUCGAAAUCUCGUUUCCGACUCAGUUGUUUGCGCCUUCCCUCUGCGGUUUUCUUUCCCUCCGUUUGGCUGGUAACCUUAACAGCAAAAUGGCCGCAGUGCACAAAUCUUCCCUGCGACAGAAAGAGGAUCACUCCAAGCCAAUAAAUUCAAGGGAUGCAUUUUGUCUUGAACAAAAAUCAGCACACAAUUGGACUUAGAUUAAAAAGAAAUAGUGAUAAUGAUAAACAUUCUGCAUUAUAUAUCAUAAUUCACUUCUUGUUUUAACUAACACCAUAAUGUUUUUUAAAAAGUCAUUUAAAGAGAGAGUUCACUUUCUGCAGUUUUCAAUUAGCCCAGACAGUCUUUUUUUUACAUGCAGUGAAAAAAGCUCAGCUCCACUGCCCCGCCCAGAGGUCUCGCCAGAGGUGACAGGUCUGUCGUCCUGUCUAGUGGAGUUGCUGGAGUCUGUAACCCCAUCCAUUCGGCCCGAGAGGAGCUGCCCUCACAAGCCCUCCAGAGGGUUCCUCGCCCUUAUGGCCUGCCGCCUGCCAUCAUCAGCCUGCCAGAGGCUCCAUCUCCAGCCCUGCGGUGGGUCCCUCACCGCUGCUUGAUGUCAUGAGCGUUCCAGAGGGUGUGCCUGCCUGCCAUGACCCCACCGAUGCGUCCGCCUGGGCCACCAGUGCCAGGAAGCCAGGUGUUUGAUCCUGGGGGUGGCCUUGGACUUCCUGGCACGGGUUAUAUAACUUCCUCCCAGGGCUCAAAGCUAGGUGAGGGUGUGUGGUGCCAGGAGGGAGUUAGGGUGCUGUCCACCAGGGGGCAGCACCAACCCUAUACACAGGUAUGGCCACAGCUGUGAUGCAUCAUAAUCACUACAUCACUACAGAGGCCCCUUCCCUAAUCAAUGGGCUUAAUAAAAGGCCUGAUUGUGAGGCCUUUUUGUAGAACUGCUGUGUUGGUGCUUGGGGUGGCAUUUUUUGGGUCUUUUUGGGUCUUUGUUUCCCACUCAGUAUUUACUAAGUAUUUUUGUUUUUGUUCCAGCGUAAUAAACUGAAGUCAGCCAAUUCACCCUCAGAGAGAAACGGUGAUCUGGAAAUUCUUGUUUAUGUGUCUGUAAUGUAACGAGCAUUUGUCCAGCAGACUUCAAAAAUUAAAUUAUUUAUUGCAGCACUUGACCUAGGACAGUGGUCUCCAACCCUGGUCUUGGAGAGAUACAGGGUCUGCUGGUUUUUGUUUUCACCUUAAAAUCAGCACCCAAUUGAGACCCAAGACACCAGGUGAGUUGAGAUAACUGUGUAAUCAACUGCUCUAAUUGAUUAAUGAAGUGCAGAGUCACUAUGAAAACCAGCAGACCCUGUAGCUCUCCAGGACCAGGGUUGGAGACCACUGACCUAGGGUAUAUGUUACAAGCAUAUAUAACCAUUUACAUAGCUGCAUUUAUUUAUAUAUGCAAAGACAUGCACACAGACGCAAGUGCGUGCAUGCACACACACGCACACAUAGUCCAAACUGUAUAGUAUAGGUUAAUGUUUCUGUUUUUGCAAGCUAAGCAGUACCAAGUGUACA